rnacentral:rRNA from 1 species
CAAUAGCGUAUAUUAAAGUUGUUGCAGUUAAAAAGCUCGUAGUUGGACUUGUGGUGGUCUUUGGGGUCCGAUUUCGGUACUCUCGGGGACUGCCAUCUUUGGGUGGAUCCUGUGUGGCAUUAGGUUGUCGUGCAGGGGAUGCCCAUCGUUUACUGUGAAAAAAUUAGAGUGUUCAAAGCAGGCUUAUGCCGUUGAAUAUAUUAGCAUGGAAUAAUGAGAUAGGACCUUGGUACUAUUUUGUUGGUUUGCGCACCGAGGUAAUGAUUAAUAGGGACAGUUAUGGGUAUUCGUAUUCCAUUGUCAGAGGUGAAAUUCUUGGAUUUCUGGAAGACGAACUAAUGCGAAAGCAUUUACCAAGGAUGUUUNCAUUAA